UGCAGUCGAGCGGACAGAUGGGAGCUUGCUCCCUGAUGUUAGCGGCGGACGGGUGAGUAACACGUGGGUAACCUGCCUGUAAGACUGGGAUAACUCCGGGAAACCGGGGCUAAUACCGGAUGCUUGUUUGAACCGCAGGGUUCAAACAUAAAAGGUGGCUUCGGCUACCACUUACAGAUGGACCCGCGGCGCAUUAGCUAGUUGGUGAGGUAACGGCUCACCAAGGCAACGAUGCGUAGCCGACCUGAGAGGGUGAUCGGCCACACUGGGACUGAGACACGGCCCAGACUCCUACGGGAGGCAGCAGUAGGGAAUCUUCCGCAAUGGACGAAAGUCUGACGGAGCAACGCCGCGUGAGUGAUGAAGGUUUUCGGAUCGUAAAGCUCUGUUGUUAGGGAAGAACAAGUACCGUUCGAAUAGGGCGGUACCUUGACGGUACCUAACCAGAAAGCCACGGCUAACUACGUGCCAGCAGCCGCGGUAAUACGUAGGUGGCAAGCGUUGUCCGGAAUUAUUGGGCGUAAAGGGCUCGCAGGCGGUUCCUUAAGUCUGAUGUGAAAGCCCCCGGCUCAACCGGGGAGGGUCAUUGGAAACUGGGGAACUUGAGUGCAGAAGAGGAGAGUGGAAUUCCACGUGUAGCGGUGAAAUGCGUAGAGAUGUGGAGGAACACCAGUGGCGAAGGCGACUCUCUGGUCUGU
rnacentral:rRNA from 2 species